UCCUUCCAGAGAAGUACUUUAUUAGGGAGGAUAAAAAGCACUGUUCAGACAGUCCAAAUAGGCAUGGCCUUCUGUGCUGUGUGGCUCCUCAGGCUCUAAGCCAUCCGGGUCUGGGGGCAACUGGUCGGUAUCUUCAUCAGAAGUGGAAGGGUGCGUGAGGAUUAUCCGAGGUAUCUUCAGCAAGAUGCAAAAGAUUUCAGAGAAAAGAGCCAGGUCAAGAGCAGAGAAGUGUGUAAAGGGUUUAAAGGUGAAGCAGGUGAUGAGACAAACAUGGGAUAAUGUAACAUGGCAGGGCUUCAUAGAAUCAUAGGAUAGUUUAGUUUGGAAAAGACCUUUAAGAUCAAGUCCAACUAUUCACCUAACAGUGUCAAGUUCACCACUAAACCAUGACCCUAAGUGCCACAUCUACAUGUCUUUUAAAUACCGCCAGGGAUGGUGACUCAAUCACUUCCCUGUGCAGCCUGUUCCGAUGCUUGACAACCUUUUCAGUGAAGACAUUUUUCCUAAUAUCUAAUCUGAACCUCCCCUGGCACAACUUGAGGCCAUUUCCUCUCCUCCUAUCACUUGUUAUUUGUUACUUGGCUGCAUUUCCACCAGCUCCCUCAGUACCCUUGGGUGGAUCUCAUCCAGCUCCAUAGAUACGUGUGUGCCUAAGCAGCUUGUAACCAUUUCCCUUUGGAUUAUGGGAGCUUCAUUCUGCUCCCCUUCCCUGUCUCCCAGCUCAGGGGGCUGGUACCCAGAGAACAACUAAUCUUACUACUAAAGACUGAGGCAAGUGGCAUUAAGCACCUCAGCCUUUCCAUCAUCCUCUCUCACUGUGUUUCCCCCCACAUCCAAUAAAGGACGGAGAUUUUCCCUAGUCCUCUUUUGUUUCCUUUUGUUUCCAGCUUUCUGACAGGGAAACUGUUCCAUGCCAAAAAUUGCAUUGAUAAUUAAAGCAAAAUAGAGAAAAAUCACCUUUUCCUCUCACUGGCUAGCUUUUUUUUUUUUAAAAAAAAAAACAACUUCCACAGGAAAAAAGAGGCGGGGGGAGAGAUAAAAAGAUCCUUAUAAAGACAAGUAAGUAUGAAAAAUAUAUAUCUACUAUUAUUUAACUUCAUUUUUCAUUAAAUUCAUCACCUGAAAUUGAUAAAUUAUCAAGGACCAUAAAACAUAUAAAUUAUCAUUUAUGUAACUAUAAAUUAUCUAAAAUAUAGUUAUAAUUAUAAGCAUAUCAAUUACUGCUCUUUGGAAAAUUGCAUAUUUUGGCUUUUUUACUGACAAAAUAUGUUUAAGGGAAACAGUAAGACAAAAUGUCAAUCUGUAAUUCAUUAAUAAAUAUGCAUAUAUGGAUUUGAUUCAUAUCAAUUUUUGUGCCAGAACUUUGUGUUCUGUGAGAACUAUAUUGUAAUGUUUUAUAAUUCAUUCAAGUGCUGUAAUGAGAAAAGAGAAGAACAUCAGAUUCUUUAUGUAUAGCCAAAUUAUGUAUCAGUAAUGGUUCGUACCAAUGAAUGGGUUAUUACAAAUUUAACUCUGAUGCAUAAAUCAGAUUUUUUAUUAAUUUUUAAAAAAAUUUAACAUGCAAUGAAAACAGAUAUAACAGUAAGUCAAUAUAUCUAAUGAGCAGGUAAUAUAAUAACAUGUAAUACAUAAAAUGCCCAUCUUAGCCAUGGUCUGAAAAUUUUCGAGAAAGUCAGUAUUUUUUAUUUGUCAGCUACUUAGUUGCAUUUCUUCACACUUUACAGGAAUGAUUAAUGUUGACACCACACAAUUCAAUCAUUUCUAUAUUAUUGCCUUGCUGUACAUUAUUAGAUUUAGGAAAUGACACAAGCACAUAGAUGCUUCAUGGCUGUUCAGCUAGUCAGUCUGUAGGUUUCUGCAUUGAAGUAAAAUGAAUUAUUCCCCAGGCUCCAUCAAGUGCAUUAGCUCCAACUCCACUGACUGUCAGGGGGGCAUGCACACUACACGUAGAUUACAUUAGCAAGUAUAAAGAGUCACCAGUAUGUCUUUUUCCUUUUGAAGAACAGCCCUUAGCCAUUCUGAAUGUUAGCUAUUGAAAUUCUCUUUAUCAGCAUGGUUUCUACUCCUCAGUGAUCCCACUUGCAAGGAAUCAAAUCCAGUUCUCUAAAAAAGCUUUUGUUAAAAUAGUUGAUGACUUCUGGAGCCUGAUUCUUGGACACUAUUUUUCAAAUAUUAUGAUGGGACUAAGUCUUACAGUCACAAAGUGAGUUUAAUUGAUGGAAUGGCAAAUAGAAAAAAAAAUAUCUAGCUGUUGCUGAGGCAUAACCCUAAAAAAUUAAACUAAUAACAUGAAGUUCUUGUGUGUUAUUCCCCUCCACCACUGCCCUCAAAUCUAUACACUCAGAGUUCUGAUUUGGCACAAAGGUUGGGAUUUUUAGGCACUCUGAAAUACCCUUCUUUUAGAGACCAUAAUUCAUUCUAUUUAUUACCAAAGAAAAUUAAACCUUUAAAAAAAUUAUCUAAAAAUUAUUUAAAAUUAAUUACCUAAAAAUUAUAUUUAAAAAAAUAAUUAAUUAUCUGAAAGAAACAUAAAAAUGACAUUGUAACAAUAUUGCUAGAGGAAUGAAUUCCACAGGAUGCUCAGUUGUAGCAUGAUUACUUCAAAUUUCUCCCUAUGUUCAAUACACUGCAAGCUGUAAUUAAGCUUUCCCAGUUUUCACAAAAACUUAUUUCAUUUUCUUGAUGACACACUCUCUUCUACACCCAUGGUCUGAAAGCCUGAACACCUCUAAGUGCUUGACCUGCCAGUAGCACGACUCUGCUACGACAGGCCCUGGUUAGGCUCCCUGUUAGGCAACUUCCUGCCCACUGGUUCAUGCCUGUCCAACAUUUCUGUGGUAAUUGUAUCGACCUCUUCCAUGAAAUAAAUAGUGUUGGGGGAAGUAUUCCAUCUAUCUAUCUUUCAUGCUGCUGCAGAUAAAGAGGAACUGGCACCAAAUGACCAAGCAACUUUCUACAGUGGAGGUUGAACAGUGUCUCAGCCAAGAAGUGCUGCAAAGGCUAGAAAUCUGUGCUCCCAAGAGGAAAGCGGGCUCAGCUUUGGUCUACAGCAGUCCCUCUGUACCAUCCCCAGGCAGAUGAAAGCUCCCACCCACUCAUGCUGAUUUAGAGACAUAACGCUGAGUUUCUCUAACAAAUCAAAUAUUCUGGUCCAAGUGCAGCUGUAUCCUCUCUCCCUCUGCUUUCUGUGCAUCUCCCUGCCCAUUCUCCCACUGAAACCCCAUAUGAGCCUAUUGGUGUCCCCAAACCCACUGUGGCCGAUUGUACUGCUCUGUGCCUGCCUUCCUGACAGGAUGUGGAAGAGCCCUGGUUUCCUCACAGUUGAAUCAUAGGUAACAAUGACAAAACAAAACAACUCUUGAUUGCAGAUUGUGCCACCUAUGCAAUUGCAACAGUGAAAAGAGGAUCAGGUGUCUACUUUCUCCUAGCAUCAAAAGUUAUCAAUCUCCUGUAAAAAAAAAAAAAAAACUCCAAAAAAAAAAAACAAAACCAAACAAACAAAAAAAACCUCCAAACCAAAACAACAACAACACAACACAAAAUAGAUGUAAGAAACACACUUCCCAGUUCUAACCACAGUGGACUUUCCAUCUUCACCUAACUAUUCCCUAGGAAACUAGCACUCUCCAUCACUGCCUUCACAUUCACCCUACCUCCAGGAAAACCACAAUCACCCCAGGAAAAUAAAGCAAUCACUAAGCUUUAUCAGCUUCCUUUCCUUUUCCAGCUUUGUUUUUUAGAAAAAAAAAAAAAAAACGAAGAAAACAAACAAACCAAAUACGAAACCAAAACAAAGUAACAAAACUCAAUAUGAUCUUUUUUCCAUCCUUUUCUCAAAUCCACUGAUUCUCUUCCCAAAAGAAAAAUCCUAGAAAUGUUUUCAGAUUUCCAGGCUUAUCUUCAUUAACCAGAGUUUUACCCUGUUAAACAGGCAAGUUUUGCUUUUGGAGCUUUUCUUUAACAUUCAUAUUUGAAUGCACAUUUCCUGGUGCCUCAUGACUGAAGAAAGACAGGAGAACAGACUUCAUGUGCAAAAAAAUGUCACAGAAAGGAGAAGCAAACUAUUUCCACUGCCCAUUACAAGAAGGACAAGACAGAGGCAUUUAGGAUGGAAAGAAGGAAAACUUUUCCAGCACAGGCAACUGAGCUCAAGUUGCUUGCCUAAGGCAUGUGGAAGAGUGUAGAAUUUCCAUUUUCUACCAGUAAUUCUUCAGA
ensembl:lncRNA